UUAAGUUCAGCGGGUAUUCCUACCUGAUCCGAGGUCAACCUAGAAGAUUUGGGGUGUUUUACGGCAGGGGACCGGGUCCAAGCUACAGGCGAUAUGUAAAAGCUACUACGUCUGGAGUGCGAACCGGCUCCGCCACUGACUUUGGAGAGCUACAGGAGAGUUCCAGUAGGCUCCCAACGCUAAGCAACAGGGGCUUAAGG
rnacentral:misc_RNA from 1 species